rnacentral:lncRNA from 1 species
UUUUUCUCAGCAACUACUAACUAACACAAACCAUAGAUACUUGUCCUUAAAGCUUUGAGACUGUCUACCUUCAGCACUUUUAAGUCUCUCAGACCUUUUGAGCUCAUUUCCAUGUAUGGGGUAAAGAGGGAGUCUAGCCAGACAGCUGAUCGUCCUAAAGCCGCUUGUGGGGAGAAUCUUAUUACCUCGUGCUGUUGUUGUGACAAAAUUUUCUUUAGUUUUGUUUGAAGGUUACAGUGGAUUGAAUUAUAAACAACGUCAUAGGGCAAGAUUUCAUUUUAUUAUGACAGUGUAAGUGAAGUGAAUUGUCUGAUACUGCCACCAGAUGGCAGUAGUGCCCCAUAUUUUGCCUAUUUCUUAUUUCCACUUCCCCAAAAGUGGGAAUAGGUUUUAACCAAAUACCAAAUAUCCUCCACAAAUCAUUCUUUGUCUUUCUUGCCCUCUUGAUGAACUUGACUUUGGCCACUCCAGUGCUGUGACUCUUGUUCCUCUAUUAUUGUUUUCUUGGCUAGCUUGAGCCUGAUUUUUCUGUUCCACGGUGAAGGGGUGAAAUUCGUAGGGAGAGGCCAUGCUUUGGGUUGCUGGGGAGGAUGUGAAAUAGAAUUCGAUUCAGACUCAGUGAUAAGAGGUUCAUGAUAUGAAAAUAUGGACAGUUUGAUCCAGCUGGUCUCACUAACAAGAGGCCUGGCAGGAAUGUGUGCUCACCGCAGGGCUGCAACAGCUUAAGCCACAGAUCCCGGUCUGGUCUCUAGCUCUUGGCUAGUUAACUAGGGCUCAGGGUCUAACAACUUGCCUUGUCCCUCAGUCACAUGUACUAGUUGGUAGGAUCUUUGUUGCUCCAAAUGCCAGUCUGACAGGAACUUGCGGAUCCUCAGCUCGUCAGCACUCUGGGAGCUAUUACCACCUGUCCAUCAGCGGCAUCAAGGAGCCAGGAGUGAUGACCUGGACAGUUCAGACUGUGGGAAGACGUCCGCGCUUUGAUAUUCCUCCACCCCCGCCUCGGGAUUGCACUAGGCAGCAUUGUGGGAUUCCUGGUUCU